rnacentral:rRNA from 1 species
AGGGUUUGAUCAUGGCUCAGAACGUACGCUGGCGGCACGCCUAAUACAUGCAAGUCGAACGAAGUAGCAAUACUUAGUGGCAGACGGGUGAGUAACAUGUAGGUAUCUUCCCAUUGGUGAGGAAUAACACGAGGAAACUUGUGCUAAUACCUCAUAAGUCUUUACGGAGAAAGCUUUAUGCGCCGAUGGAUGAGCCUGCACUUGAUUAGUUUGUUGGUAGGGUAAUGGCCUACCAAGACAAUGAUCAAUAGCUGAUUUGAGAGGAUGAUCAGCCACAUUGGGACUGAGACACGGCCCAAACUCCUACGGGAGGCAGCAGUAGGGAAUCUUGCACAAUGGGGGAAACCCUGAUGCAGCGAUGCCGCGUGAGUGAAGAAGGCCUUUGGGUUGUAAAGCUCUUUCGUCGGGGAAGAAAAUGACUGUACCCGAAUAAGAAGGUCCGGCUAACUUCGUGCCAGCAGCCGCGGUAAUACGAAGGGACCUAGCGUAGUUCGGAAUUACUGGGCUUAAAGAGUUCGUAGGUGGUUAAAAAAGUUGGUGGUGAAAUCCCAGAGCUUAACUCUGGAACUGCCAUCAAAACUUUUUAGCUAGAGUAUGAUAGAGGAAAGCAGAAUUUCUAGUGUAGAGGUGAAAUUCGUAGAUAUUAGAAAGAAUACCAAUUGCGAAGGCAGCUUUCUGGAUCAUUACUGACACUGAGGAACGAAAGCAUGGGUAGCGAAGAGGAUUAGAUACCCUCGUAGUCCAUGCCGUAAACGAUGUGUGUUAGACGUUGGAAAUUUAUUUUCUGUGUCGCAGCGAAAGCAAUAAACACACCGCCUGGGGAGUACGACCGCAAGGUUAAAACUCAAAUGAAUUGACGGGGACCCGCACAAGUAGUGGAGCAUGUGGUUUAAUUCGAAGAUACGCGCAGAACCUUACCAACACUUGACAUGUUCGUCGCGACUUUAAGAGAUUAAAGUUUUCGGUUCGGCCGGACGAAACACAGGUGCUGCAUGGCUGUCGUCAGCUCGUGUCGUGAGAUGUUGGGUUAAGUCCCGCAACGAGCGCAACCCUCACUUUUAGUUGCCAUCAUUUAGUUGGGCACUCUGAAAGAACUGCCAGUGAUAAGCUGGAGGAAGGUGGGGAUGACGUCAAGUCCUCAUGGCCCUUACGUGUUGGGCUACACACGUGCUACAAUGGCAUUUACAAUAGGAAGCAAGACGGCGACGUUAAGCAAAUCCUAAAAAAAUGCCUCAGUUCGGAUUGUACUCUGCAACUCGAGUACAUGAAGCUGGAAUUACUAGUAAUCGCGGAUCAGCGCGCCGCGGUGAAUACGUUCCCGGGUCUUGUACACACCGCCCGUCACACCAUGGGAGUUGGUUCUACCUUAAGGCAAAGUUUAAUACCUUUGACCACGGUAUAGUCAGCGACUGGGGUGAAGUCAUAACAAGGUAGCCGUA